rnacentral:lncRNA from 1 species
AGAGCAGUGACAAUUGUCAGGGCCAACUACAGCACAUGGAAGACACCAGGGUCCCCUGGCAAAGGAGGGUCAAAGAGGCAGUGGAGAGAAACUCAUCAGACAGGAAACUAAACAAGAUUCUGAAUCUUUUCUACAUUCAUUUGUGGUGGAAGAGUGGCGUAGCCCAGGGCUGUGUCUGCUUCAACAUGCAGGGAGAGUCAGCCUACAGUCAGUCCAUAAUUAGCACCGACAUGUCAUUCCAGUGAGAGUCACAGUCCCGUGCCACCCCGUGGGACCCAAGUCCUGAUCAUGAAAACCCAUGCCAGCACAUCCUCUCUGAAGGGUCCCCCAAAAAGUCCCUUGGAAAGUGCCAUUCAUCCCUCAUACGUGUCUCUCUCUAGCACCUGCCUGGUCCACUGUGCCAUAAAAUGAAAUCUCUCUUAAUGAGAAACUGUACCUACCUUUUGGCCUCCGGUUUCUGAAUUUCACAGCUUAUUAUGAACGUUUCCAUUUAUUCAGAGGGUGCCUUUCUGACGUGUUAACUCCAUCUUUCGAUCAGCCCUAUUAUAUUCCUUUCUCGCUUUUUCAAAACGAUCUACCGUGUG